ACUCCUCUAGAUAGUCAAGUUCUGAU
rnacentral:piRNA from 1 species